CGCUCCGGUGGCCAAAGUGGUUAGAGCGUCUGCCUCGGAUGCUGGAGGUCGCGGGUUCAAUCCUCGGCUGAAUGA